UUACUCUCGGUCUCUUUGUUUGCUCAUCGACAUUACGAGGUCAUGUACACUGUGGUCAACUUUGUGGACGAUGAAGAGGUUUCUGGGUAAAGAUGAUAGAAAUAUAACGAAGUAACAGUGGAAGCUAAAACAUCAGACUGAUCCAGACACUGAAGAAAUUGAUGUCACUGCAAUCUGGCCAAAAUGAUGUAAGUUUAAUAAUGAAAU